AAAGCACGACAUUGCUCACAUUGCUUCCAGUAUUACUUAGGCCAGCUCGGGUGCUGGCCUUUUUUU
rnacentral:antisense_RNA from 1 species